rnacentral:rRNA from 1 species
CCUACGGGUGGCAGCAGUGGGGAAUAUUGGACAAUGGGGGGAACCCUGAUCCAGCCAUGCCGCGUGUGUGAAGAAGGCCCUCGGGUUGUAAAGCACUUUCAGUGAGGAAGAACGCCUGGUGGUUAAUACCCAUCAGGAAAGACAUCACUCACAGAAGAAGCACCGGCUAACUCCGUGCCAGCAGCCGCGGUAAUACGGAGGGUGCGAGCGUUAAUCGGAAUUACUGGGCGUAAAGCGCGCGUAGGUGGCUUGAUAAGCCGGUUGUGAAAGCCCCGGGCUCAACCUGGGAACGGCAUCCGGAACUGUCAAGCUAGAGUGCAGGAGAGGAAGGUAGAAUUCCCGGUGUAGCGGUGAAAUGCGUAGAGAUCGGGAGGAAUACCAGUGGCGAAGGCGGCCUUCUGGACUGACACUGACACUGAGGCGCGAAAGCGUGGGUAGCAAACAGGAUUAGAUACCCCGGUAGUC